UACGUAGGGGCCGAGCGUUGUCCGGAGUUAUUGGGCGUAAAGCGCGCGCAGGCGGCCUCGCGCGCCCGACGUGAAAGCCCCCGGCUUAACCGGGGAGGGUCGUUGGGGACGGCGGGGCUUGAGGGCGGGAGAGGUCGGUGGAAUUCCCGGUGUAGUGGUGAAAUGCGUAGAGAUCGGGAGGAACACCUGUGGCGAAGGCGGCCGACUGGGCCGACCCUGACGCUGAGGCGCGAAGGCGUGGGGAGCG
rnacentral:rRNA from 1 species